AUGAACGCUGGCGGCGUGCCUAAUACAUGCAAGUCGAGCGAACAGAUGAGGAGCUUGCUCCUCUGACGUUAGCGGCGGACGGGUGAGUAACACGUGGAUAACCUACCUAUAAGACUGGGAUAACUUCGGGAAACCGGAGCUAAUACCGGAUAAUAUAUUGAACCGCAUGGUUCAAUAGUGAAAGACGGUUUUGCUGUCACUUAUAGAUGGAUCCGCGCCGCAUUAGCUAGGUGGUAAGGUAACGGCUUACCAAGGCAACGAUGCGUAGCCGACCUGAGAGGGUGAUCGGCCACACUGGAACUGAGACACGGUCCAGACUCCUACGGGAGGCAGCAGUAGGGAAUCUUCCGCAAUGGGCGAAAGCCUGACGGAGCAACGCCGCGUGAGUGAUGAAGGUCUUCGGAUCGUAAAACUCUGUUAUUAGGGAAGAACAAAUGUGUAAGUAACUAUGCACGUCUUGACGGUACCUAAUCAGAAAGCCACGGCUAACUACGUG
rnacentral:rRNA from 1 species